rnacentral:rRNA from 1 species
GAUGAACGCUGGCGGCGUGCCUAAUACAUGCAAGUCGAGCGAACGGACGAGACGCUCGCUUCUCUGAUGUUAGCGACGGACGGGUGAGUAACACGUGGAUAACCUACCUCUAAGACUGAGAUAACUUCGAGAAACCCGAGCUAAUACCGGAUCAUAUUUUCAACCGCAUGGUUCAAAAGAGAAUGACGGUCUUGCUGUCACUUAUCGAUGGCUCCCCGCUGCAUUAUCUAGUUGGUGAGGUAACGGCUUACCAAGGCAACGUUGCAUAGCCGACCUACGAGGGGGAGCGGCCACACUGGAGCUGAGGCACGGUCCAGACUCCUACGGGAGGCAGGAGUAGGGAAGCUGCCGGAAGGGGCGAAAGCCUGACGAGGCAACGCCGCGUGAGGGAGGAAGGCCUUGGGAGCGUAAAACGCUGUUAUGAGGUAAGAACAUAUGUGUAAGUAAGAGGCCACAUCUGAAGGUAACUGAAUCAGAAAGCCACGCUAACUUCGGG